CAGGGAGUAGUUUAAUAAAAAUAUUAAUUUUGGAGAUUAAUGAUAAAAUGAAAAUUUUUUCCCUGA
rnacentral:tRNA from 1 species